GAACGGGUGAGUAACACGUGGGCAAUCUGCCCUGCACUCUGGGACAAGCCCUGGAAACGGGGUCUAAUACCGGAUACGAGCCUCCCGGGCAUCUGGGAGGUUGGAAAGCUCCGGCGGUGCAGGAUGAGCCCGCGGCCUAUCAGCUUGUUGGUGAGGUAACGGCUCACCAAGGCGACGACGGGUAGCCGGCCUGAGAGGGCGACCGGCCACACUGGGACUGAGACACGGCCCAGACUCCUACGGGAGGCAGCAGUGGGGAAUAUUGCACAAUGGGCGAAAGCCUGAUGCAGCGACGCCGCGUGAGGGAUGACGGCCUUCGGGUUGUAAACCUCUUUCAGCAGGGAAGAAGCGAGAGUGACGGUACCUGCAGAAGAAGCGCCGGCUAACUACGUGCCAGCAGCCGCGGUAAUACGUAGGGCGCAAGCGUUGUCCGGAAUUAUUGGGCGUAAAGAGCUCGUAGGCGGCUUGUCGCGUCGAUUGUGAAAGCCCGGGGCUUAACUCCGGGUCUGCAGUCGAUACGGGCAGGCUAGAGUGUGGUANGGGAGAUCGGAAUUCCUGGUGUAGCGGUGAAAUGCGCAGAUAUCANGAGGAACACCGGUGGCGAAGGCGGAUCUCUGGGCCAUUACUGACGCUGANGAGCGAAA
rnacentral:rRNA from 1 species